CCUGUUGAACUUGACUCUAGUCUGACUCUGUGAAGAGACAUGAGAGGUGUAGCAUAAGUGGGAGGCCGUGAACCCUCGUGGUUGUGUCGUGCCGACAGUGAAAUACCACUACUUUCAUUUUUUCUUUACUUACUCGGUGAAGCGGAAAGCGGACCAUGAGUGUCCACGCUGCUAGCACUAAGUGCAAGGCCCUUCGUUGGCUCGCACGAUCUGUUCCGAGGACAGUGUCAGGCGGGGAGUUCGACUGGGGCGGUACAUCUGUCAAAUGGUAACGCAGGUGUCCUAGGGCGAGCUUAGCGAGGACAAAAACCUCGCGUAGAGCAAAAGGGCAAAUGCUUGCUUGAUCUUGAUUUUCAGUACGAUUACAGACCGCGAAAGCGGGGCCACUCAAUCUUUUUGACUUUAAGACUUUUAAGCAGAAGGUGUCAGAAACGUUACCACGGG
rnacentral:rRNA from 1 species